CUUAGCUCAGUUGGUAGAGCAAUUGACUGUUAAUCAAUGGGUCGCUGGUUCGAGCCCAGC
rnacentral:tRNA from 4 species